rnacentral:rRNA from 1 species
AUUGAACGCUGGCGGCAUGCUUUACACAUGCCAGUCGAACGGCAGCGCGGGCUUCGGCCUGGCGGCGAGUGGCGAACGGGUGAGUAAUGCAUCGGAACGUGCCCAGUAGUGGGGGAUAGCCCGGCGAAAGCCGGAUUAAUACCGCAUACGACCUGAGGGUGAAAGCGGGGGACCGAAAGGCCUCGCGCUAUUGGAGCGGCCGAUGUCGGAUUAGCUAGUUGGUGGGGUAAAGGCUUACCAAGGCGACGAUCCGUAGCUGGUCUGAGAGGACGACCAGCCACACUGGGACUGAGACACGGCCCAGACUCCUACGGGAGGCAGCAGUGGGGAAUGUUGGACAAUGGGGGCAAGCCUGAUCCAGCCAUGCCGCGUGCGGGAAGAAGGCCUUCGGGUUGUAAACCGCUUUUGUUCGGGAAGAAAUCCUCUGGGCUAAUACCCCGGGGGGAUGACGGUACCGGAAGAAUAAGCACCGGCUAACUACGUG